CCAGGAUGCCAACAGGUAUCGCUCACAGGAAGGAUCUCUGGGUGGCCAGAUAAGGGCUACACAGCAACAGUACGAAUUUACUCCUACACAAAAUGCCAGUGUGAGAAGCUCUUUCAACUGGCUGAUAGGAAACAGCGUUGACACUUUUUCAGAAUACAGAUUUCCUUCAUCUUCUGAAUCCCUGUCAUCUUCAUUGUUGUUCAUUAACAAACGAGCUGACAAAUCACACAGAACCGCCUUCAAACCUAUAGGUCCUAAUUUCGGAGAGAAAAGGCUGGGUUUGCCCGGUGAUGAGGUGGACAGUAAAGCUCAAGGUAUAGAUGAACGAUCAGAGAUUCUGAGACUGAGGCGACGGUUCUUAAAAGACAAAGAAAAGCUUAGUUUGAUUUAUGCAAGGAAGGGCGUUGUUGAACAGAAAAAAGAAAAGG